rnacentral:tRNA from 1 species
GGCCUCGUAGCUCAGCUGAUAGAACGUGUGCUCACAAAUGCGUGGAUGGCAUCUAUGAGUGGGUUCGAAUCCUAUCGAGGCUA